rnacentral:rRNA from 1 species
GUGUCAGCCGCCGCGGUAAUACGUAGGCAGCGAGCGUUGUUCGGAGUUACUGGGCGUAAAGCGUGCGUAGGCGGUUUCCUAAGUUUGGUGUGAAAUCUCCCGGCUUAACCGGGAGGGUGCGCCGAAAACUGGGAGGCUGGAGUAUGGGAGAGGUAGGCGGAAUUCCUGGUGUAGCGGUGAAAUGCGUAGAUAUCAGGAGGAACACCUGUGGUGUAGACGGCUUACUGGACCAUGACUGACGCUGAGGCACGAAAGCGUGGGGAGCAAACAGGAUUAGAAACCCGCGUAGUCC